AUUGAACGCUGGCGGCAGGCCUAACACAUGCAAGUCGAGCGGAGCGGCGGACGGGUGAGUAAUGCCUAGGAAUCUGCCUGGUAGUGGGGGAGAACGUCCGGAAAGGGGAGCUAAUACCACAUACUAUCAGAUGAGCCUAAGUCGGAUUAGCUAGUUGGUGGGGUAAAGGCCCACCAAGGCGACGAUCCGUAGCUGGUCUGAGAGGAUGAUCAGUCACACUGGAACUGAGACACGGCCCAGACUCCUACGGGAGGCAGCAGGGGGGAAUAUUGGACAAUGGGCGAAAGCCUGAUCCAGCCAUGCCGCGUGUGUGAAGAAGGUCUUCGGAUUGUAAAGCACUUUAAGUUGGGAGGCGUUACCAACAGAAUAAGCACCGGCUAACUCCGUGCCAGCAGCCGCGGUAAUUC
rnacentral:rRNA from 1 species